rnacentral:rRNA from 1 species
UACGAAGGGGGCUAGCGUUGCUCGGAAUCACUGGGCGUAAAGCGCACGUAGGCGGCUAGGUAAGUCGACUGUGAAAUCCCAAGGCUCAACCUUGGAACUGCAGCCGAUACUGCCUAGCUUGAGUUCCGGAGAGGUUGGUGGAAUUCCUGGUGUAGAGGUGAAAUUCGUAGAUAUCAGGAGGAACACCGGUGGCGAAGGCGACCAACUGGACGGAUACUGACGCUGAGACGCGAAAGCGUGGGGAGCAAACAGG